GAUCUUGUAGCUCAAUAAAAAGAGUUCCACCUUGACAGGGUGGAGGUCGCUGGUUCGAGGCCAGUCGGGAUCA
rnacentral:tRNA from 1 species